GCAUGCAAGUCGAGCGGUAAGCUGUAGCAAUACAGCCUAGAGCGGCGGACUGGUGAGUAACACGUGGGUGACCUACCCUUAGGAUGGGGAUAGCCACUAGAAAUAGUGGGUAAUACCGAAUGUGGUUACCGGGCUGUGGCCUGGUAAAGAAAGGAGCUAUGGCUCCGCCUGAGGAUGGGCCCGCGUCCCAUUAGUUAGUUGGUGAGGUAACGGCCCACCAAGGCGAUGAUGGGUAGCCGGCCUGAGAGGGUGAACGGCCACACUGGGACUGAGAUACGGCCCAGACUCCUACGGGAGGCAGCAGCUAAGAAUAUUCCGCAAUGGACGAAAGUCUGACGGAGCGACGCCGCGUGGAUGACGAAGGCCGAAAGGUUGUAAAAUCCUUUUGUCGAUGAAGAAUAAGCAUGGGAGGGAAUGCCC
rnacentral:rRNA from 1 species